rnacentral:lncRNA from 1 species
GGCCCAGUAGUGUCAGUGGAAAAUGUUAGUAAAUAUUUACAAAUUUUAUGAAAAUUGUUAAAAAUUGACUAUAAAGGGCAAUAACUCCUAAAGGGGUCAACUGACAAUUUCGGUCAUGUUGACUUAUUUGUAAAUCUUACUUUGCUGAACAUUAUUGCUGUUUACAGUUUAUCUCUAUCUAUAAUAAUAUUCACGAUAAUAACCCAAAACAGUAAAAUUU